UACGGGGGGGGCAAGCAUUUUUCAGUAUGAUUAGGCGUAAAGGGUUUUUAGACGGGUUCUUGUAGUUUUUAUAUAAAAAUUAGAGCUUAACUCUAAGAAAUUUAAAAAAACGGUUUACCUUGAGUAUUUAUGGAAAAUAAUGGAAUUUUUAUUGGAGAGAUAAAAUAUGUUGAUAAUAAAAGGAACAACAAUAGCGAAGGCGAUUAUUUAUGUAUGUACUGACGUUGAUGAACGAAAGCUUAGGUAGCAAAUGGG
rnacentral:rRNA from 1 species